rnacentral:rRNA from 1 species
UACGAAGGGGGCUAGCGUUGCUCGGAUUGACUGGGCGUAAAGGGCGCGUAGGCGGUUUGUACAGUCAGACGUGAAAUUCCUGGGCUCAACCUGGGGGCUGCGUUUGAUACGUGCGAGCUUGAGUUCGGAAGAGGGUCGUGGAAUUCCCAGUGUAGAGGUGAAAUUCGUAGAUAUUGGGAAGAACACCGGUGGCGAAGGCGGCGACCUGGUCCGAUACUGACGCGAGGCGCGAAAGCGUGGGGAGCGAACAGG